UACGUAGGGGGCUAGCGUUAUCCGGAAUUACUGGGCGUAAAGGGUGCGUAGGUGGUUUCUUAAGUCAGAGGUGAAAGGCUACGGCUCAACCGUAGUAAGCCUUUGAAACUGGGAAACUUGAGUGCAGGAUAGGAGAGUGGAAUUCCUAGUGUAGCGGUGAAAUGCGUAGAUAUUAGGAGGAACACCAGUAGCGAAGGCGGCUCUCUGGACUGUAACUGACGCUGAGGCACGAAAGCGUGGGGAGCAAACAGGAUUAGAUACCCCCGUAGUCCCUGAGCGGG
rnacentral:rRNA from 1 species